AGAAGCAAUAAUGUUAAUAUGAGUAACAAGAAAAUUUUCUCCCUGCAUGAGUGUAUAUCAGAACGAAUGAUGCACUGGUAGUUAACAAAUACAGACAUAACUAGCUAACUAAAAUCUUAAUACAACUGUAGUCCAACACAGGCAUGCACCCAGGAAGAUAAAAGAAGUAAAAGGAACUCGGC
rnacentral:rRNA from 1 species